rnacentral:lncRNA from 1 species
GGCUCGGCGUUGGCCUCCGCGGCCCGUGCGAGUGCGCCCUUCUCGGGUCCCCUAGGUCGCGGGGCAGCCGGGGCGGAAGGGGCUUGUUCAUUAUUUUGAGAGUUUGUUGUGAACGUCAUAACCUUUCGUCCUUAAAUAUUGCCGAUACUUGACCUACGCAAGAGACAAUGUCAUGUGAUUCAGCCUAAUAUCUCAGAGGAUGCAGCAUUCAAGGUUCUAUCUUGGAAGCAGAGACUGUGCCCUCACCAGAUGCUGAACCUGCUGAGCACCCUGAUCUUCCACUUCACCUUCAUCAGAACUACUGGGGCUGUGGCUGAGAUGUCACAUGGCAGAUAGGAUCACAAAUUUCUGUUGUAUCUGGAUGGAGAUCAGCAGGAGGAUCUAUGGGUACUUCAAAGAGGACAUCCUCUCCUGAAGAACAGAAGAACCUGAAAUGUUUGGAGCCUAAGACUGCUGUGAUUGCACCUGCCAUCUUAUGCAGAAAUGACCUGAAGACAGACUGAAACAACGUGUUCUACAGCCUGAAAAUAUCUACCUUGACUUACAGUUUUAUUAAUGCUGGUGUGAUCAGACUGGACAAAAAUUAGCAUAUGUUAUUAACUGAUCUAAUUCAAGUGCCAAUUCUUAAUAGAAACACAAAACAAUAAAAGCAAUUCAGAAAAU